rfam:TPA: Bos taurus chromosome 14, whole genome shotgun sequence.
UCCCUGGUGGUCCAGUGGUUAAGACUCCAAACUCCCAAUGUAGGGCACCCAAGUUUGAUCCCUGGUCAGGGAA